GAACCUCUGGUGUACCGGUUGUGACGCCAGUCGCAUCGCCGGGUAGCUAUGUUCGGAAGGGAUAACCGCUGAAAGCAUCUAAGCGGGAAGCCUACCUCAAGAUAAGAUUUCCCUAGGAAUUUAUUCCUCUAAAGAGCCGUUGAAGACUACGACGUUGAUAGGUUGGAUGUGGAAGUGCGGUGACGCAUGAAGCUGACCAAUACUAAUUGCUCGUGAGGCUUGACUAUACAACACCCAAACAGUUG
rnacentral:rRNA from 1 species